rnacentral:rRNA from 1 species
AUGGCCGCGGCGGCGCCGCCCCGGCGCAUCGGCAGGUCUACCGUCCACAUGGACGGCGGCGGCGCCGACAGGCCGACGCCGGCGAUUGAUGGUGUAGGCGGCACGUCCUCUGGCGCCGGGGCUGGGCGGCGGCCGGGCAUCGACCUCUUCUCGGGGCCGGUAUGUGCCGCCGUGUUCGUCUCCUUUGCGCUCUGCAUCGUCGCCUUCUGCGUCUACUCCUUCCUCGCUCGUCGCCGCGCCAUCUUCGACGCCCGCCGCAGGUUCCUCGGCCGCGUGCGCGACAACUUCAACCGCCUCUCCGAAUGGUCAACCGACGGGCCAGUGCCACGGUCUCCUCCAGCAGCGACACCUCCAGCAUCAGUGACAACGGCCGACCGCGUUGACGAGCCACCACCUCCAGUAGCGACCACACCCCCCGGCUGUGACGUGCCACCGCCGCCUCCAGGAGCGAGAACGGCCACCUGCGAUGACAUGCCACCGCGUCGUGGACCAGCGCCGGCCCGCCCUGCACGGGGAGACACCUCCAACUCUCGCCUCGGUAACUGCCCGGUGUGCCUCGAGCCAUUACAUGGGCGUACCAACAUUAUGGCGGCGCAUGAGUGCGCCCAUGUGUUCCACGCGUCUUGCAUUGAGCCAUGGCUCCACAACAGGGGCUCCUGCCCCGUGUGCCAGUACACCGCCAUCCCCACCUCCAUCCCCAUCCCUGACCCCGCCUCCGCCUCCACCUCCACCUCCAUCGGCGACUGUCCGGUGUGCCUCGAGCCCUUGCUCCUUGAUUGUGGCGAUGUCAGGGCGGCACAUGCUUGCGGUCAUGUGUUUCACUCGUGUUGCAUUGAGCCGUGGCUCAACCAACAAGGCUCAUGCCCCGUGUGCCGGUGCACUGUCAACUCAACCUUCAUGUCCACCUCCACCUCCAUCCCUACCCCCACCACUACCUCUACCACCAACUCCACCCCUAUCUCCGACACCAUCGGCUACUGCCCGGUGUGCCUUGAGCCUUUGCGUGCUGGUAGUGGCGACAUCAGGGCGGCACACGCAUGCGGACAUGUGUUCCACUCACGAUGCAUUGAGCGGUGGGUACGUCGACGGGGCUCAUGCCCUGUGUGUCGGUGCACUGUCCGCUUCAACCCCAACUCCACCUACAACCUCACCUCCAUGUCCACCUCCAACCCCACCACAAACACUAACCCCACCUACAUCCCCACCUCCAUCCCCACCCACACCCCCACCCCAAACUCUACCUCCAACUCCGGCCCCGUCGGCGAAUGUCCGGUGUGCCUCGAGCCCUUAAGCGUUGGUGGUGGCGACAUGAAGGCAGCUCAUGUAUGCGGCCACGUGUUCCACUCCCGCUGCAUCGAGCGUUGGCUACGCCACCGCAACUCCUGUCCCGUGUGUCGUUGCACUGUCACGUGCAGUCACAACCCGUGA